UACGUAGGUGGCAAGCGUUGUCCGGAAUUAUUGGGCGUAAAGCGCGCGCAGGCGGUCCUUUAAGUCUGAUGUGAAAGCCCACGGCUCAACCGUGGAGGGUCAUUGGAAACUGGGGACUUGAGUACAGAAGAGAAGAGUGGAAUUCCACGUGUAGCGGUGAAAUGCGUAGAGAUGUGGAGGAACACCAGUGGCGAAGGCGACUCUUUGGUCUGUAACUGACGCUGAGGCGCGAAAGCGUGGGGAGCAAACGGGA
rnacentral:rRNA from 1 species